rnacentral:rRNA from 1 species
UACGUAGGGGGCUAGCGUUGUCCGGAAUCAUUGGGCGUAAAGAGCGUGUAGGCGGCCCGGUAAGUCCGCUGUGAAAGUCGGGGGCUCAACCCUCGAAUGCCGGUGGAUACUGUCGGGCUAGAGUGCGGAAGAGGCGAGUGGAAUUCCUGGUGUAGCGGUGGAAUGCGUAGAGAUCCGGAAGAACACCGGUGGCGAAGGCGGUCUGCUGGGCAGUUGCUGACACUGAGGCGCGACAGCGUGGGGAGCAAACAGG